rnacentral:miRNA from 12 species
CAUUGUACAAGGUGUUCCAUUU